GAGAGGGCUCGGGAAGGGAGCGGGCUCGCCCUCCGGCAGCGCGCCCGGGAACGCAGACAAUCGCCCGCGGCCGCGCCGCGAUGCCCGUCCACGUAAUUCGGCGCUGACGACAGGAUUCGUCUUCACUAUCAUCCUGAAAAGGACCUCUCUUUGUGUGAGGCUGAGCAUUACAGAGAAUCUAGACCCAGAGGAAAGCAGCUCUACCUUCAAGGAGGCUACAGAAAGAGAAGCUGAAAAGAGGACACUUCUAGAUAAUCAAGCUGAAGAAAUUUCAAUUUACGUAACGUUGCCCUCAUAUCAUAAGACUCCCUGCUCUGGUGCUCUCGGACAAAACCCCAGCAGGAAAACUGCAGCAGCCUGCUGAGAACUGCAGCAGCCCCUCGCAGUCGAUUAAGAAGUGCACUCUGCACUGCCCACCCGGACCUUGACCAUCACUUCUCAUCACCAGCCUUCCAUUCGAUUGCAAGCUGCAGCACAGUCCUUCCCUAGAUGAUGGACCAAGGGGUUCUCAGUGCCCUGAGCUGGAGGACCAUGACUCCCAGAAUUAUCAACUCUCAGUAAACCCUGAAUUGUGUGGGAUCUGCUGCUCCAGCUGGAUCUCUGCAAUCUAUGGGGCCUGAUGGGAUUCAUUCCAGAAUUCUCAAAGAGUUGGAUGAUGCCAAUGCAAAACCUGUCUUGAUGAUUUUUGAGUGGUCUUGGGAAUCUGGAGAAGUCCCAGCUGACUGGAAGCUGACAAGUGUUGUUCUGAUUUUCCAGAAGGGCAAGAAGGAGGACCCAGGAAACUAUAGGCCUGUCAGUCUCACUUCAGUAUCUGGUAAAGUUAUAGAGAAGAUUAUUCUGUGAAGUAUUGAAAAACACCUGAAGGACAACACAGUCAUUGGUCACAGCCAGCACGGCUUCAUGAGAGGAAAGUCCUGCUUAUCCAGCCUGAUUUCCUCUUAUGACAAGGACUCUCUGCUGGCUGUGCCUUUGUUUGAAGUUGUAGGACUGACCAGGCUGGAAGGCGAUGAGGGGACCCAACAUGUUUGCAGAGGUCAGAUUUCAGAAUCAUAGAAUUAACUGGGUUGGAAGAGACCUCCGAGAUCAUCAGGUCCAACCCUUGAUCCAGCCCCACGGUGAUUACUAGAUCACGGCACUCAGUGCCACAUCCAGCCUUUACUACACUACAGUAAGUAAUGUCAUCUCAUCCUUCCUUACUUACUGCUGCACAUCAAGGAAAGUGUGCCAUACAUUGCCAUGACAAUACAAUGGAAAUAAUUACAGAAGAUUCUACAGAGAGAAACCCAUAACGGAGCACUGCCUUUUCUUUCACUGCUAAAGAGGAGCAGAACAAAGAAUUCCUUGCAAAGAAUCCUGACAUCACUUGUUAUUAAUUACCUGUCUACUGAUUUCUUCUCUAAACUGGAUAUGUUGUUAAUGCAGCAGCAAUGAAAUCAGCAAUUCAAGAAAAGAACUGCAUGCAUUCCCACACCUCCAUCAACUCUAGAACUGAGCUAAGUAUUACCCAGAAAAAAAAUCAUCUCCCAUGAACAAAAUUCUUUCAGUUAAACAGUAAAAUAACCCCUCACGAACCAGAUGCAUGUUCUUGCUCAAUUUGUACCUAUAAAGGAGUCCAACUACCGUUAAUGGGCUGCAGUCUACCUGCAAUGCUGAUGCUAAAAGCCCAACCAUUUCUGGCUUUCUGUACUUUCUACCACCUCCAGUGCUAUUCCUCUGUCUGCAUGACAAUCAAGCUGCUUGUCCUCCUUUUCAAAGGCCUGCACUAUUUAGUCUUCUACUCAUCUACUUCUGGCUUAACAUACUAACCUUCCAGCUCUAUUUCUCCCGCAAACAUACUUCUGCCCUCUUUUAUUCUACUUAUUCUAAGAGGAGGAUAUACUCAGAACUUAUUUGCAAAGUCACAAAGUACCUUCUGCUUCAAAUACUUAGUCAGACCUUACUUACUCUGAGAUCUCUUUGCCCAGUAUAGCCCUGCUACAGAUUUGUAUAUGCAGAUACAAAGAAUUGUGGCUCUUCCAAUUUACAAUGUUAUUGUAAUUGGUAUUCAGAUGUUUGUUGGGUUUUCUUCAAAUAAAAAUAGAUGAAGUGCAAUUUUCACGAUAAUCCAGAUGUCUAACAUUGGUGGGUAAAGAGUUGUCAUGAACAUGCAAAUUCUGAGACUAAACCUAUCUGUACUGCUGUGUCUCUUUUACAGAGCUGAAGCAAAUAGUAAAAAAAGAGUCCUCAGAAACAAGAGCAUCAACACAGGAGUCACACAGGCUGCAAAAGCCCAAUUCUAAAAAUUUGUUUCUUCUAAAGUUGAACAUAAGCUGCAGUAACAUAAUGCUAAAUUCUUCAUGCCAACUCACUGGCUUUUAACAAACAGCUCUUUCAAUUUGUAAUAAAGUAUAUAGUACACUCCCAUGCUUUCAAGUUGGGUUCCUGCAAAACAGGUAACAUUUCACUCCUCCUGAUAAAUACACAAACAUCAAUUAGCUAAAAGGCAUUAUAUGACAGUAUUCAGGGCAGAGUAACAGCACCCUAUAAAGCAUAAGGGACUUACUUAAAACAUGGAAAUGACAUUGAAUUUAAGCAAAGGAAGUAGGGCUUCACUUUAGAAGGUAAGAACACUUGGCAUUUCCAUUAUCCUUUAGUUAAAACAUAGGUCCACAAAUGCUGAUUAGAUGUCUACCUAGCCUGCAAAAAAGUCAAGACAACCCUUGUAAUCAAGGCAAGUUAAGAGACCAGGUGGAGGGUAGUUUUUGAAAGGACAGAUAGUUGUGUGAAGCUAAAACAGGCAUCCAAAAAUUCUGACUGUUGUCUCCAAAAACAUGUAGAGACAGCUGCAAAUUCAACUAGAGACUUAUUUUGUUCUCAUUCAAUUCAAACGUGUCCAGGAAUUUGAUCAAACAUGAAGAAAAAGUACUCGAAUCCUUUGUUGCAAAAGAAAAUGCAGAAGAAAAUGUACUGGAAAUGAUCAUGCAGUGUACUCACCAUAAUCCUGAAAAAUCAGAAGUGAAAAUAAGUGCACAAGCAACUGCAAAAUGCUACUUGAAUACCAGCUGCAAUUCAUUGCCAAGUUUUGAAACAUCUAUUCCUUAUUUCUGUUCCUACAUACAUACACUUGGUAUUCUACAUUUAACUUGACAGGAUUUCUCACUUGAAUGUUUGUGAUUUACGAUGUAUUUGCCUUCUAAUUUACUGGAACUGCUGUUUUAUCUGGGGGGAUUUAACUAAAGCUGUUUCCAUAUGUUUUGAGCUCUAAGCUUGAGACCAUGGAUUUGGAACUGUAUAGUGUUUUGCUGUUGGGCAGGUUGGCAUAAAUCCCAUGUGUGGUGUAUAUUCACAUAAUACCUUCAGGGUGUUUUAGUAGGACAUCUCCUAUGACUCAAGCAAACAUGCUGUUUUCCAGCAUUGUAACUAGAGUCAACACUCAAGAGGCGAAGGAUACAUCACCAUUUUGUCUCCGUGUAUCACAACAGACUUGUGUCAAAUCCUUGUCAUUUUACUCAUUCACAGGUGUUAUUGUGCCACAUUACUAACAGAAGGGAUUGACAAUUUUAAUGCUUCCACCUUUUCAUCAAGGACACAAUUGGUUCUUAUGAAAUGCAGACAGCCAAAUCUCACCCAGUGCGAGACAUGCACACCCAUCUCCUGUCUCACACCACGCAGCAGCAAGCCUGCAUGUCACAAAGUCACAGAGACUGUGCCUUUCUCCUGUUGUCCAAUGCCAUCUGCCAGGCUUUGUGGACUACAGAACCAGGAAGAGGUUUCCACAGUGUCCUGUGGUUGGAGAUACGCCACACACGGAGGUUCCACCCUACUCCCUUCUCUUUCUGAGAAAGGAGGUAUCUCUGUUUCCCAGUCACAUAGGUCUCAACUCAGGGAAACAGAAAUUUGAGAGGUCUGAGUGCAGGAUUAGAUAAAGUUCACAGUGACUCAAGAGUGAAAUUCUAGCCCUAAUGACAUCAACAGAAAAACUCUCACUGACUUGAGUGCCAAGAUUUCAGUCCAUAUCCCAAACUAAAGUAUCUUUUAAGCUGGAUGAAAUUUAGGCCCCAAUCCUGUAGGAAAUGUACAUAUCUUUCACUUCACAUAUUGAGCAGUUCAAAUUCAACUGAACCAUUAACAUUAGGUAAAGUGACAUUGUUGGUAAGUGAGAUCCAGACUCUAAUUGUAAGUACAACCUUAAGGUCUUAUAAUGUAGUGAUAGGAUUCAAACACCACAAAAGCAACUCCAGGAAUGCUUGCUUCAGUUUGGAUUUUUUCUUUACUUACUUUUGUCUGAUCAUCGGCUUUAAAUACAUAGCAGAUAC